GCAGAUCGUAUUUUAGGGAACAGAGAGUAAAGUUCCCUAAGAAAAGCAGGAUCCUCCGACCAGUCGAGGUGAUCGUGGCUGGCGGGCUUUCUGCCCUACUGU
rnacentral:pre_miRNA from 1 species